CCGCGGACCAGGCCUGGCUGCGUUGCCGCUCCUUCUGGCUCUCGGGACCGGAAUUAGAGGGGGUUGGUUUCGAGCACGGUUGCCAGGCUCUGUUGUCCUAUUUUCCCUCUAGCGGAAUGGUGUCCUCGUUUUCUGGCACAAUGCACUUUAAAAGAAUUUCCACAGCUGACAGUCCCUUACUACCGACUUGAGGUAUGCAAGGAAUGCAGAUGGCGGAGUCCACGCCUCCUUCCGCUUCUCCAUCAAGAUCCUGCUUGAUUUACAAAUUCAGUCUUUCUUUUACUACCUUCCUCUGCCAGACCAAGUUUAGUCCUGUUGUAUUCAUUUCAAGGAGUAAUUGUGCUGACAGAACGCCUACGGCAAUCAAAUGAGCUCUAUAAGCAUUUUUAGAACAUGCAAACUGUGGAAUGUUUGUUUGGAAAUGUGCACAGCAGCCCAGAGAAAUAUCAAUAGGAGUAAAAAGAAACAUUUCAUGGGAGAAAGUGGCAUUUAAUUCAAAGCUGAAUUUGUACAAAAAGUAUCUGCAAGAUUCUCUUUAUAUUCAACAGCUGUGGAUCCUAGGAAAAAUUGCAUCUAUUGCCAUUUGUUGUUUCCACUUAACCAGUGAUCCUUCCUUAUAUCUUUCCUUGAUCUAUUACUCUUUGAUAUUUAUUGUCCUAUUGUAUUUAUUACUUCUGCACUUUAACUGCAUCCAUUAACUUCUGCAUCUGAGCUUAAAUGCUUGCAUAAAAAUGAAAAAUUUUGUAAUUUGAAGAGGACCAUUUUCAGACUUAAUUCAAGGUUGUAGCAUUGCAUUGUAUUUUCUGUCAUGAGCCACCUAAAAGACAGGUCUGACCUACGUUUACUGCUUCAAUGAGAGCUGUGCCUUUUAGAACAUAACUCUUAAUAGUUACAGUAAUUUGUGUGUUCCAGCAGUUCAUUACUUAUGAAUAACAAAAACUGAUUUUUUUUCAUUCCCAAUUGCAAUGGGAUCCCAGGAUGUAGACAAGUUUCUUAAUGCAAUUAUAAAAGUUCAGAACAUUCUAA